rnacentral:rRNA from 1 species
GAGUUUGAUCUUGGCUCAGGAUGAACGCUGGCGGCGUGCUUAACACAUGCAAGUCGAACGAGGAAUUUUAAAUGAGACUUCGGUGGAUUUUAAAAUUCUUAGUGGCGGACGGGUGAGUAACGCGUGGGCAACCUGCCCUGUACAGGGGGACAACAGCUGGAAACGGCUGCUAAUACCGCAUAAGACCACGGAGCCGCAUGGCUCAGUGGGAAAAACUCCGGUGGUACAGGAUGGGCCCGCGUUGGAUUAGGUAGUUGGUGAGGUAACGGCCCACCAAGCCGACGAUCCAUAGCCGACCUGAGAGGGUGACCGGCCACGUUGGGACUGAGACACGGCCCAAACUCCUACGGGAGGCAGCAGUGGGGAAUCUUCCGCAAUGGGCGAAAGCCUGACGGAGCAACGCCGCGUGAGUGAAGAAUUAUUUCGGUAUGUAAAGCUCUAUCAGCAGGGAAGAAAAUGACGGUACCUGACUAAGAAGCCCCGGCUAACUACGUGCCAGCCGCCGCGGUAAG